GAUGAAUGCUGGCGGCGUGCCUAACACAUGCAAGUCGAGCGUGAAUGUGUGGAUUGGAGACUUCGGUCGAAGAGAAGCACAUGAAAGCGGCGGACGGGUGAGUAACGCGUGGGCAACCUGCCCUGUACAGAGGGAUAGCCACUGGAAACGGUGAUUAAUACCUCAUGAGACUUCAAAGCCGCAUGGCUUGGUGGUCAAAGAUUCAUCGGUACAGGAUGGGCCCGCGUCUGAUUAGCUAGUUGGUGAGGUAACGGCUCACCAAGGCGACGAUCAGUAGCCGACCGGAGAGGAGGAACGGCCACACUGGAACUGAGACACGGUCCAGACUCCUACGGGAGGCAGCAGUGGGGAAUAUUGCACAAUGGGCGAAAGCCUGAUGCAGCAACGCCGCGUGAGCGAAGAAGGCCUUUGGGUCGUAAAGCUCUGUCGGAAGGGAAGAAACAAAUGACGGUACCUUCUGAGGAAGCCCCGGCUAACUACGUGCCAGCAGCCGCCGUAA
rnacentral:rRNA from 1 species